AAGUGGUGGUUGGCUGCGCGGCGGCGUGCGGUGGGCUGUGAGGUACGCGGGGCGCUGCCGGGGUAUGUCCGCUGCCGGGGUGGAGGCAGCGGGGCAGCCGUCCCCUUGCGAGGAGUGAGGAGCGCGAAAAAUCACCACACAUAUAAUGGAAUUUUAUCUGAUUCUGUAGAUCAGAUUUCUUUAUUCUGGAUGUCAUGGUAACAAUACAGGAAGUAUGCACUAUUCCUCAUUUCUGCAAGUAGUCUUCACUGCUGACAGAAGAAAUUUUUUAAGCUAUAGCAGAAUUCAUUUUGGUAUCUUCAAUGGAAAUCUUGAUUUUGUUUUUAAUUUUUGAUAACCUUUUCUAAAGGUAUGAACAACCAAAGAACUUACCUCAUUAGGCAAGUCCACAUGAAUAAGAAUGCCUAGAAGAGGAUUGAUUCUUCAGACCCGGACCCACUGGCUGUUGUUGGGUCUUGUUUUACUCUGCAGUUUGGUAUUAUUUUUAUACCUUCUGGAAUGCGCCCCCCAGACUGAUGGAAAUGCACCUCUUCCUGGUGUUAUUGGGGAAAAUUAUGGUAAAGAGUAUUAUCAAGCCCUCCUACAGGAGCAAGAAGAACAUUAUCAAACCAGGGCUACCAGUCUGAAACGCCAAAUAGCCCAACUAAAACAAGAAUUACAAGAAAUGAGUGAGAAGAUGAGAUCAUUGCAAGAGAGAAAGAAUGUAGGGGCUAAUGGCAUAGGCUAUCAAGGCAACAAAGAACAAACACCCAGUGAUCUUUUAGAGUUUCUUCAUUCCCAAAUUGAUAAAGCUGAAGUUAGCAUAGGAGCCAAACUACCUAGUGAGUAUGGAGUCAUUCCUUUUGAAAGUUUUACUUUGAUGAAAGUAUUCCAGUUGGAAAUGGGUCUCACUCGCCAUCCCGAGGAAAAGCCAGUUAGAAAAGACAAGAGAGAUGAAUUGGUAGAAGUUAUUGAAGCUGGCUUAGAGGUUAUUAAUAAUCCCGAUGAAGAUGAUGAACAGGAAGAUGAGGACAGUCCCCUUGGAGAGAAAAUGAUAUUUAAUGAAAAUGACUUCGUAGAAGGUUAUUAUCGCACCGAGAGAGAUAAGGGCACACAGUAUGAACUGUUUUUUAAGAAAGCAGACCUUAUGGAAUAUAGACAUGUGACCCUCUUCCGCCCUUUCGGACCUCUCAUGAAAGUGAAGAGCGAGAUGAUUGACAUUACUAGAUCAAUUAUUAAUAUCAUUGUGCCACUUGCUGAAAGAACAGAAGCAUUUGCACAGUUUAUGCAGAACUUCAGGGAUGUGUGUAUUCAUCAGGACAAGAGAAUUCAUCUCACAGUGGUGUAUUUUGGUAAAGAAGGACUAUCUAAAGUCAAGUCUAUCCUAGAGUCUGUCACAAGUGAGUCUAAUUUUCACAAUUAUACUUUGAUCUCAUUGAAUGAAGAAUUUAAUCGUGGACAAGGACUAAAUGUGGGUGCCCGAGCUUGGGACAAGGGAGAGGUCUUGAUGUUUUUCUGUGAUGUUGAUAUAUAUUUCUCAGCCGAAUUCCUUAACAGCUGCCGGUUAAAUGCUGAGCCAGGUAAGAAGGUGUUUUACCCUGUGGUGUUCAGUCUUUACAACCCUGCCAUUGUUUAUGCCAGUCAGGAUGUGCCACCACCUGUGGAGCAGCAGCUGGUCCACAAAAAGGAUUCUGGCUUUUGGAGAGAUUUUGGCUUUGGAAUGACUUGUCAAUAUCGAUCAGAUUUCUUAACCAUUGGUGGAUUCGACAUGGAAGUAAAAGGUUGGGGUGGAGAAGAUGUUCAUCUUUAUCGAAAAUACUUACAUGGUGACCUGAUUGUGAUUCGGACUCCAGUUCCUGGUCUUUUCCACCUCUGGCAUGAGAAACGCUGUGCAGAUGAGUUGACCCCCGAGCAAUACCGUAUGUGCAUCCAGUCUAAAGCCAUGAACGAGGCCUCUCACUCACACCUGGGGAUGCUGGUCUUCAGGGAGGAGAUAGAGACCCAUCUUCACAAACAGGCAUACAGGACAAAUAGUGAAGCUGUUGGCUAAUCAUUGGCAUACUAGUCUGAACCACAAACCAGCACUGUUUUUUUAGCCUUAAUUCCAAUUGCAGAUGCAGUGCCUGUUUCAGAGAAGACAUGCUGUGUUUCGUGUUCUUUCUGGCUUUACUUUACUUUAGCAGUUUAACUUGAUAUGAGAAGAAAAAGCAGUGUUUCAGUGCAAACCCUGUUUUGUGAAAAUACUGCAUUUUUGGAAUUGCUGACAAAUCAGAAAUCUGGUGUUUGCCCCAAAAGUAGUUUUAAGUUAGUUUCUACCCCGCACUCAUCCUGAUGUGCCUGGUUGCAUCUGGGUCGAGGGAUGGAGUGUGUUGUGCUCAGGGUGGGUCAGGAGCAUCCGGGCCUGCAGAGGAGACAGAGUGUUGUGGAUGGAUUGUGUUGACAAGGGUUCUUCACCUGCUGACCACGGAGUCAACCUGCUUUUAAAUUAAGAUCUUUAGUCAGUUGCUUGAAGAAUCCUUUUUCACUGAAGCAGAGGAUGACUAAAUGACACAUCUGAAAUUCACAAUCAAUCAAAAGAAAUCAGAAAUAAAAAACCCUUAAUGUUGCUUAGCUCCCUGAAUAUUUGGUAUUAAACAAAUGAGUAAUAGUAGAAAAUACUUCGGUUAGAAUCUAUGACUUGAUUAGAACUAUAAUGUGUUCUCAUGUUCUGGAUUAGUAGUCAAAGUUGCUAUAGAUUGUUUUAAGUAAACAAAUAAACAUGAAAAUGUCUUUACUAGAACAUUUACUUAUGUUGGAGAACAGGGCACUAGUGAUAUCUGGGAACAUCAGUUUACAUGAGCCAGGUGCUACUGGGGCCUUCCUAUAGUGGUUCAGAAUAGAUGAACAUAGCAUACUUUUGUGGUUUUUGCUUUGUAUUGCCUCAUUUAGCUUGAAUCCGCAUAUAUUUAUUAUCCUUUUUUUCCCUAAUAUGUUAAUAUAUGCUACACCUGUAUUUGUAAUAUUGUGAUACUUUGAGUUUAGAGUUUCAUGAAGGGAGAAAAACAGUUUAAUGAGGUAUAGUAUUGAUCACACUGAUUUGCAAAAAGAGGUGGAGGGGAAAGUGAUCUGAAUGGAAAUCUGAAUUACAGAAUAUUUUAGAGAAAUAUAUUGUUUGCAGAUAGAAUAAUGUUUUAAUUGAGGUAAAAAUUAUGUUAAUGAAACAAGAUGAAUAAGAAGUUAUAUUCAGAUAGGACUAUAUACUAUGUUAUUUAUCACACAUGAAUAUUUUGCCAGAGGGCCAAUUGCUGGAUCCAAAAAUUGGAGAUAUGGUGAAAGGCAUGCAUAGAUUUUGAUUUGGCUUUUUAAAAGGAUGUGUAUUGUAUCCUUCUAUGUGUAUAUAAGCCCCUAAUAAUUCACAGAAGAAAAGUCAUUACUUUUUACUCAGUAAAUCCUAUCAUCUGAAAUAUAAAUUCCAAAUUUCUUGGUGCUACAUGAAUUAAUUUUAUAGUAACUCUUAUGAAUUAUUCUUUCAAGUUUUAAGUUGGGUAGUUUAGGCUUUUUUUUUAAGAUGUGUAAAAUGUUCUCUGAAGAAUUAUGAGGCCAUUGUCUCCAUUUAUAUACAAUUAUUUAUUAUGAAGACCAGUGAAUUUUGGUAUUUAAAGUGAGAGAACCUAAUUACUUGCAAAGGUAAGUUGCAGCUUGUUUUUUGACAGAAUCAAGUGAUUUCACCUUUUCUCCGUUUUUUAAAAAAAGCUAGCUUUUAAUUUAAAAAUGGGAAGCUAAGCAAUGGAAACAUACUGUGUUUUUGACAUUAAAUGGUACCAAUAAAGUAUUUUAUUAUCAAAAGUUAAAUGAAAAUGUGAUAAAUUUUUUCUGUUGCAAAAUACCAUAAAUACAGAAAAGUAUGUAACAUAUAAUUAUGUGGUUUAAAGAAUAAUAAAGCAGCUACCAGGAGUGAGAUAAAGAACAUUAUCAGUGAAAGGCCUCUGUGUGCCCUUUCUUGAUUAUACACCCUCACCCCCUGUAAUAAUAGCCAUUCUGAUUUCUAUGAUAAAUUUUCACUUAUUUUACUUAAUUUUCCCAGUUAUAUAUGUAUCUCUACCCAAAAGACUGUUUAGUUUUGCCUGUUUCUGAAUUUAUGUGCAUAUUAUUUCAUUAUAUAUUCUCUUUUAUUCAGUAUUAUAUUUUUGAGGUUCAUUCAUGUUAAUCUCAAAAUUCAUUUUUAUUACUGACUGGUACUCCACUGUAUAAAUGUACUAAAUACUCAUUAACUCUGUUGUUUAAAGAUAUUUGGGCUGCUCAUAGUUUUUUGUUGUUUGCUUUUGCUAUCAGAAGCUGCAUUGUCAUGAACACUGCUUCACAUAUCUCUUAUAAUAAGUGUGCAAGAAUUUCUCUAGGAGUAAUAAUGCUGGGUCAUCAGUUGUGUGUACAUUCUGUUUCCAAAGUGGACCAUCUUCAGCACCGUCUUCAACCUAACUGGAAGAGCUUUUUGUAUAUGCUGUGAGAUAAAGAUUGUUCCCCAGCGUCACCUUACAAUAUAGUCCGUAUUUUACCCACUCAUCUGCAGAACCACUCAUCAGAUCUCCGUACGUUCAGAGGUCUUGUUCUGGGCUCUCUGUUCAAAUAGGCUUUCUGUCCAUCACCAUACCCUUACCUCAUGGUCUAAAUUACUAUAUCUUUAUAAGAAGUCAGUAUUUCUGAGAGCUAAUCCACUUGCCUUGUUCUUAACAACUGUCAUGGCUGUUUGUAGCCCUGGUACUUUCAGAUAAAUUUGAGAAUAAGCUAGUUAACUUUCACAAAACUUUCAUGAAUUUGACCAGAUUUAAGUGAAUCUAUAAGAUCACUUUGGGGAGAAUUUACAUCUUUGUGUACAGAGUCUUCCAGUCCUUGAACAUGACAUAUCUAUUUAGGUCUUUAUUGUCUUUCAAUUAAAUUCUAUACUUUUUCACAUAGAGGAUUUACAUGUAGUAUUUUAUAGAUUUUCCUAGAUACUUUACAUUUUUUAUGCCAUUGUAACUAUCAUUUUUCUUUUUUAUUGUCUAUUCCUGGUAUUUAAAAAUUCAGUUGAUUUUUGUGUUUGGCAAGCUUGCCAACCUUGUAUUUCUAGUUUCUUUCAUAGUUUUUCUGUUGUGCAAUCAUAUCUCUAUGAAAAGUAAACAUUUUCUUUUCAAUUUUUAUAUCUUUAUUUUCCUUGUCUUACUGUGCUUGCUGAGAUUUGUUGUGCAGUGUUGAGGUGAUAAUAGUGAACUUCCUGCCCGUGUUUCUGAUUUCAAGGGGAGUAGUCUCAGUGUUUCAUCAGUAACUAUGGUAUUUGCUGAAGGUAUUUUUAUAAAUACCCUUUAUCAAGUUAACAAAGUUACUUUAUAUUACUGCAUCUGUUGAGAAGAUAUUUUUUUUUCCAUCUUUGACAUAUUAAAUUGAGGUGUUUUUUGAAGUACCGUUGCAUUCCUUGGGUAAAUUCCAAUGUUUCAUGAUGUAUUAUCCUUAUUAUGCAUUGCAGGAUUCAUUUUAUUGUGUGUGUAUGUGCACACACACAGGCUUCAUUUGCAUAUCUGUGUAUAUAUUUGUGUGUGUGAGAGUGUUUAUGUGUGUAUAUAUUUCAGGUGUUUUUCAUCUGUGUUAAUGAGUUUUUAUUAAGGUUAUGCUAGCCUAUAAAGUAAGUUAGAUGUCUUCCUUCUUACUCUGUUCUAAAAAAAAGUUUUGUAAGACGGAAUUAUUUCUUUGAAUAUUUGGCAGAACUACCUGAAAGCCACAUAACCAUGAAGUUUUCCAUAUGGGAAGAUUUCUGUUCACAGAUUCUGUUUAUUUAAUGAUUAUAGAUCUAUUCAGAUUUUCUUUCUUUUAAAGUCAGUUUUGAUUAUGUUAUCUUAGAUAAGGUUUAGAAGAAUUUAGAAAUUCUUCUAGGAAUUUAUAGUGAUAAAUUUGAAAUUUUAGAUGAAAUAUACAAAGUUAUUUACAAUAUCCUCUUAUUAUCUCUGUAAUAUGUACAGGAUCUAUAAUGAUAACCUUUCUUUCAUUCCUGAUACUAUAUGUGCCUUUUGUUUUUCCUUGAUUAACCUUGCCAGAGGCUGACCAAUUUUUUCAGUUCUUUCAAAUAACUGCCUCCUGCCUGCCACAUGUGAGGAAUCCACUUGUUUAUUACCAAGGAAAUGAAAUCUUUUCAUGUGCUUAUUGGCCAUUUGAAGAUCUUCUUUGGUGAAAUACAUUGAUUGGUAGGAGUUACUUCUGUAUUCAGGAUGUGAGUCUUUUGUCAGAUUUAUGUAUUGCAAAUAUCUUUCUCUAGGCAGAGGACUGUUAUCAUUCUCUACUGUUAUCUGUUAAUAAACAAAAACUCUUAAUAAUGUCCAUUUUAUCAUUUUUCUUUCUUUUAUGGCCAGUGCUCUUGGUAUCCAAUUUAAGAAACUUUGCCUGCUCCAAAGUAAAGAAAAAAUGUUCCUGUUUUCUUUUAGAUGCUUUAUUAAGAUUGCCUAUAACUUCCCUUCUCAUCUUUGUUUGAGCCAUUCAUACUUAGAUCUAUGAUGCGUCUAGAAAUAUUUUUUGCAUAUAGUGUGGGAGUCAAGAGUCAAUCUUUAGAAUUUCUUUCAGUGAAGGUCUGCUGAUAGCAAACUCCAUUUUGGUUCAUAAAUAUCUUUUAUCUCAUUUAAAAAUAUUUUUUGAAGAGUAUAGAAUUCUAGGUUGGGUUUGUUUUUUUUGUUUUGUUUUUUAGUACAUUGAUGUUAUUCUACUGUCUUCUGGCUUCAGUUACUUCCCUUGUAAGUAAAUUAUCAGCUUAAGGUUGAUACUCCUUUGAAAGUAAUCAACCUUUUUCCCUGGCUGCCUUCAGGAUCUCCUCCUUAACUCUGUUCUGAAUCACUAGGAUAUAUGUGUGUUUGCAGGUUACUUUGGUUUUUUUUUUUUUCUGAUCCUGCUUGAGAUUCUUUAGGCUCCUUGGAUGUUUAUUAUCUUUUGUCAGUUCUGAGAGACUUUUAGCUAUUACAUUUCAUUUUCUCUACCUCAUUCUUUCUUUCAAAAGCUCUGAUAACAUGUUAGACCUAUUGUUCUAUUGUCCAUGCCCUUUAUAUCUCUUAACCUGUUUCAUAAUUUUCAGCUUACACUCAUAAUUUCUUCAGAAUUAUGACAUUUAGAGAAGAACCUCUAUUCAUUAAGAAAUGAAAACAAAUUUUAAAAUUCCAACAUUUUCUUAUAUUCUUGACAGCACUGUUUCUUCAACAUUGUUGCUUAAGAUCCAUACCUAAGAGUUUGGGGUUUGUUAGGAUAGGUAUUCAGGGGUGAGGGGGAUGGUAGCCCUUCACCUUCCUUACAGUAACAUGACUUCUUUCUGGGACUGAAAAUAGAAACUGUGUUGGUAUGAUCUCAGGUCACUAGCCUGUAUGUGGGUAAUAGGUUUUUCAUUUAGAAAGUGGUUCUGAAUCCCCAAUUUGUGGGAAUUUUCCCCAUAUAUGUCUAUAUACUGGUUAAAUUGAACAGAAAUGACUCUUCAGUAAUGUUAGAAUAUAUUUUAUAUUAACCAGAACUUCAGUUGUUCCUUUGAGAAGGUCACUUAUAAUUCUUGUUUGACUUUUCCCAGGAGAGUCUGCUCUGUGGGAGAAGUGGGGUUCAGUUUCAUCAGGAGUGCUGCUGCGAGUAUCCAGCUAACACUGACUGCUUCUAACGAACCAGCACUGCACCUUCUGCCAUGUAGCAUUACAACAGCCCCUUCAAAGAAGGGACAGAGAGUAUUGUAUGAGACAGAGAGUAUUGUAAAUUUAUCUUAAUUGUGAGAAAAUGGAGGCUUUAAAAGAUAAACAACUUUUCCAAGGAUGCCCUGCUGAGACCUGGAAACUAGGAUCCGAAUCCAAAUAGUUUAACUUUUGAUUCCUUGCUCUUAUGCUUUUCCUAUCUUGCCUUCCUGGGGAACAGGGCAUCUAUUUUAUAUACAAGUGUAAUAGGUGUAUGUUUCACAAGUAAUCUUAGUUUUGAUACAGAAGUCUCUGUGGCCUUAGGAGAGAUCCCUAGCUUAUUUCCUGUCACAUGAUGCUGUAACAUAGAUUUGUUCCAGAAAUGUGUGUGUGAAGUGAAAGUCAGUGUUCAGUCCUCAUAUGGUGGCAUUAGGAGCUGCAUACCGUGCUGAUCGCUGGCCACACAGUUACACAAGUGGCUCCUACUCGGAAAGCCAAGACUGGCGGGUGAGACAGAUGCCAGUGGUGUAAGGUAAGAAGGCAGAUGGGCCCAGAGGAGCACAGAGCAUCACUCACCAGAGAAGCUGUAAGCAGACUCUGGAAGAACGUGUGUGAGGACAGGACCACAGUACAUUAGAGGAGGUGCACUAGUGACAUGGAGGUUCCGUGUGUCUGCAAAGCGAGAGCGCACCUGUACCUGGGAGGUACAGGGCUGUAUCUGGCAGAGGUAGACUGUGAGCAUCAGCAGAAGAGCUUCCCAAACUUACUGGGCUCCCAACCCCCAUUUUUCCCCUUUAGUGGGGCCCUGCAUCAGCUUGAGCCAGUGUCCAGUGCUGCUAAUGCUGCUGUCAAAGAGCCACACCUUGAGAAGCAUGCCCUAGAGGGACCACUCUGUGAGUGAAGGAGCACCACAGCCAGCCGAGAGCUUGCCACCCACUCCCAGCUCAAGCUCCAUGGCCAAGGCACACACUGAAGGAUGUGCUGCCCCGUCUUCCACUGAGGGCCGAGGGCGACGUCUGCGUCGGAUUGUGGAGCCACCCCUUCCUGAGGCCUCACCUCCACGUCUCCAGGCUCUCCUAGGAGCUUUGGAAAUUAGCAACUACCUGACCCAUCUUCACUCGGGCAUCUCGGCUGCAGGCUCCUGGGAAGCCAGGCAUGCGGAGAGAAACAAAGUUAUAUACAAAAUGGACCCCAACCAGUGAGGCCUGCUCAUCUCAACCCUUAUCAAUCAAGGUUAAAACUCAGUGCAUGUGUGUGCUUCAUCCAGCAUCUGCAGGCUGCAUCCGUGCCUUCAGGCUCUGUUAAGGAGAGUCGUCCUAAAGGACCUUCACUUUCAAAGGAGGCGAUGAAGAGAGCUGAGAGAUGAGAAGCCCCUCAGAGCCCAUGUCUACAUGCAGUGAGUCUGCCUACCACACCAGUUGUCCCCUCCUUUCUAGGGCUGCAACUGGGCCUGUCCACAGGUCUCUGCUCCCUGGGGUUCUAGAGCUCCCAGCUUGGAGACUGAGAAGUCCUGGUUCUGCAGCACUAUCAGGAAGCUUCCAGAUUCCAGAGCCCCAUCUACCCACAGCCCACCCUCAUGUUCUCACCCCUGUGAGUUCAGCUUCCCCUGUAAUCAAGCCUGCCUCCCAGAGCAACCCCCCCAUGAGAGCAGAGGCCCUGGACGUGGGGGUCAGGGUGACAUAUACAGUGUGGGGAGGUGGGCCUCACCUUCCUCACUGUAGAUGGGUGCCGUGAGCAGGUAGUUCUGAAUCUUCUUGUCCUUCUCGAAGGGACACUCUACCUGAGUCCAUGUCAUGAAGUCAUGGAUCUGUCUGGAGAUUUCCCAAAAUUUCUGAAGGUACAGAAGACCAACUGGAUGUUCAUUUGUCACCUUAAGCUUAAAAUCCUUGGUUCAGGCAGGGGAUGUAGAUUCUGAUUUCAUUCUGUGACCCUGCUCAGCUGACUUUGUGGCCACAGCAGCACUUUAUGCAGCAUCAGAGCCAGUAAGUGUCCCCAAGAUCACUCGGUCCUCCACUUUGCCUAGCCCCGAGGCCACAGCAGGGUCUGUGCCUCCCCCAUGCAAGACCCUGGAGGCCCCAUCCGGGACUUCAGGCUGAGACAGGUAUGCCAGCCAUACCCAGCACAGCACUGUCAACAUGAACAUGCCAUGAUCUCAUUCCUGUGGAGCUGUAGGGGAAACGGGGCUGUCCAGUACUUCCCUCACACAGGUAAGGGGAGGAAGGAGUUAUGGAUUCUUACACAGGCCCCAGUCACCUUUGUCCUAGCUUCCCACCGUUGGCCAGCUACCCUUGUCUUCCAUCUGGAAUUCUGCUGCCUCCUCGAGCAUCUUCUUGCCUAAAGCCUUGCUCACUCCCAAACCCCCAGAAGUAGCCCCUUCUCUGCUCCCUGGUGGGUCAGUGUUGGGACCAGCGUCCUGGGUAAAUACAAGUUCCCUGUGGCUCCAAGCCCAGAAGGGAUGCAAACAGCACACAUAACUCACCACGGAGCUUUCGGUCAUAAAGGCCUUUCUGCAAAGGGCCAUCCUUUAUAGCUCUAGGGGCACAGAUUCUGCCUGCCCUAUGAUAAGGCUGAGAGGUCUGGCCCCCCUCCCCUCAGACCAGAAGGGUGCUGAGCUCACCUUGAAGUUAACAUGCCCAUUGGGCAAGUGGUUGGUAUGGAUUUUGUGAAGGAAGUAAAUGUCCUUAACGAAAAGGUUGAAUACAGGGAUAACAAUCUUCUCUCUGCUGCUGUUGGCCAUUUGGGACCUUUGCGUGGCCCCCUGCAGGGCAGUGCGGUAGUUGCAGAAGUUGCUGGAUGGGUCCAUGUGGUGCUGUGGGCAGACAGGAGGACCUGGUUUAGCAGUGUUCUCCCUGCACCCGACUUGCUCAGGAUGCCCCUUUGCAGAGCAGGAAACAGCGAUGAGGAAGGCACCAGAAGAGGCCUCCUUCCUGGGGGUGAGCACCUGGCUGAGUACUAGGUUUGGAUCCAAAGAGGAAGAAAGUUACAGAGAAGUCUCACAGCUCACACACUUCCUCUUCCCUGCCAAGCCUGGGUCUUACCUUCUUUCCUUUCAAAACCUUCCUUUGCUCCUUUCCUUGGACCAAUAAUCUCCCAAAGCUGAUGAGCUCCUUAAGACACUUUUGCAGAAAGUGGAUUCUGUGAUCAAAUAACUUCAGGGAAGGCUGCAGGUAAACAUACCCGCUCUUGGGCCACCCAGAUGAUCCAGAACCACAGCAAUUCAAGCCAGGAAAAAGCCAGUCUCUGCUUCGUCAGCAUCACCCAACGCCCCAGGGCCAACCUUUGUCGAACUCUUUCCUAACCACUCUAGUCAGAACUGGCAUUGCCUAAGGCAAGUUCUGCAAAGUCCCAGGGGCCAAGAAGAGCUGCAGCUACCCACCUCCUAGAGCAGCCAGGCCGGCUCAACAUGGCCUACACCAGAUGGCACUGUGGGCAGUGGGUUCUGAGCAAGGGGGCAGAGCGUGAUGGGAGGCCCACCCCUCCUCAGGCCAGUGUAGGACAAGGCUGAGGUGCCUACCUCCAAGACAUCAAACUUGGCCGUCUUGACUUUGGACCACGUUUUCUUUAGCCUCGCCACAGGACUGAGGUUCAUGCCAGCUGCAGGAAACAGUAGGUAGAGUCAGGGUGGGGUUAGGUAGGCCAGGCAAAAGCUGGAUAGGAAGCCCCCGGGGUCUGGCCACUCACAGAUGAUGGCCAUCAUGGAGUUGAAAUUCCCGAUGUUGAAGCACUCCCGGGCCACAUCAAUAAAGAACUCUAGCAUGCGGG